AGGGUGAAAUUAAUAUUAAUUAAAGUAAUAAUCAUUGUACAAUUAUUUUGGAUUGUGUAAGGUUACGAUGUCAAACUUUUAUCACACCUCAUGAAUAUUUUAUGUCAGUCUUAGGACAAUAUGGAAAACACACUACCAACAUUGGUACUUCCCUCCAAAUAUGUGAAACAAUAUUUCCACAAUAAGCUAACCCAAAAUUCAAUCAGAA